rnacentral:rRNA from 1 species
UGGGGAAUAUUGCACAAUGGGGGAAACCCUGAUGCAGCGACGCCGCGUGAGCGAAGAAGUAUUUCGGUAUGUAAAGCUCUAUCAGCAGGGAAGAUAAUGACGGUACCUGACUAAGAAGCUCCGGCUAAAUACGUGCCAGCAGCCGCGGUAAUACGUAUGGAGCAAGCGUUAUCCGGAUUUACUGGGUGUAAAGGGAGCGUAGACGGUUGUGCAAGUCUGAUGUGAAAUUCCAGGGCUUAACCCUGGACCUGCAUUGGAAACUGUAUAACUAGAGUGUCGGAGAGGUGAGUGGAAUUCCUAGUGUAGCGGUGAAAUGCGUAGAUAUUAGGAGGAACACCAGUGGCGAAGGCGGCUCACUGGACGAUAACUGACGUUGAGGCUCGAAAGCGUGGGGAGCAAACA